UAAACCUAAUCCAAUGAUCCAUUUGUCUGUCUAUAAAUUCACACGAGCCGCUUCUACUUGUAGCUAGCUUCAACCUUAGACAGCAACGGUCGAGAGGAGCAGUCAUGGCGUCCACGAACACGAAGGGUCUCCUCCUCGUCGUACUUACUCUCCUGCUCGCGGCCGCUUUCCUCGUCGCCGGCGGCGCAGCUGGCCGAACUCAGGCCAAGGAGGAGGAGGCCGAAGCCGGCGUGCCACGGGGCUUCUAUCACCAUGGCGGCGUCAGCGGCGCCGACGCUCACGGCAGCGGAUGCCGGAAGGGCUGCUGCAGGACAAGGGACGGUCGCUGCAUCCGCUGCUGCGCUAACGCCGACGAGAUCCCGGAGCCCAUGUACCGGCCGGCGGUGGAGGUCCACAACUGAUCGAGCACCAGACGUUGUGAUGCAGCAGGCAGUGAUGUUGCCCUUCAUACGGACGUGUUGUAAGCACUACUCGGGGUUAAUUAUGGUUUAGCUUGAUUAAUAAUAGUAUCGCUCUGUUCCAUAUAAACCGUUUUAGCAGAUUAAAAUAGAUUGCUAAAAGGCUUAUAAUAUGAAACGGGGGUGGUAGUACUAGUACUGUACGUGCUAAAAAGAAAGUGGGGGCAUAUCCAUGUUACCAUGUACAGUGUUCUUGUAGAACGCUCUCUUGCAAGUUUUGGUCUGUCAAAUAUAUCCGUUUGACGUCUUUGAGAUU